UACGUAGGGGGCUAGCGUUGUCCGGAAUCAUUGGGCGUAAAGAGCGUGUAGGCGGCCUUACAGGUCAGCUGUGAAAACUCGAGGCUCAACCUCGAGACGUCGGUUGAAACCGUAAGGCUAGAGUCCGGAAGAGGAGAGUGGAAUUCCCGGUGUAGCGGUGAAAUGCGCAGAUAUCAGGAAGAACACCCGUGGCGAAGGCGGUUCUCUGGGACGGUACUGACGCUGAGACGCGAAAGCGUGGGGAGCGAACAGG
rnacentral:rRNA from 1 species